rnacentral:lncRNA from 1 species
AAGCCUCCAAUCCAAUCACACCAGCGGAAGUUAAAUCAAACAUAUAAGAGACUAUAAUUUAACGUGAUUCUGUCCAAUUGAUUUACAUCCACGGAUGAGAAAUAAGAUUUACUAGUUGUAGAGAAUUAUAAACAUACAUAAAAUCAUCAACUUCACUCAACAAUCAAUAUUCAUAAGAUACUCUCAAUCUCCUCUAGUCUUAUGGAGUAUUCUCAACUCAAAUAAACACAAACUCAAACUUUUGUGUACCCUUUCAACAUAACCAAACACAUAUCCAUAUGCUUCCAUACAUCAUACUUAUGUGGACUCUCUCAAUCUCUUCUAGUUCACUCAUAAACAAACAUACACACCCAUAAGACGUAGAGUCCCAAUACUCUUAUGGGGUGUUUAUCUCACAAAAUCUUAUAACUCUUUUACAUCUUUUUCUUAUACUUAAUCCUGUAGAGACUUCAUCUAUUUAUAAUCAUACAAACUUACCCAUUAAGAAUCUCUCUACUCUUAGAAUUCUUUUCCCGUAAGUCAAACUUGCCUAUUAAGAAUCCUAUUUCUCUUAGAAUUCUUCUUUUGCAAGUCUUCUUGUCCAUCAAGCAAUAUCUGACAAAUCUCAAAUAAAUCUCUAACAAAUCUCUUAUGGGAUUUGAGUCAAUAUUCUCAACAAUCUUCACCUUGACUCAAAUUUCAUCAAUCAUCUGUCUUCAUGCUAGACAUGCUUGGCUCCACCUGUAAUGAAAGUCUCACAAUCAUCUUCUCUUCUCUUGUGUCUUCACGCUUCAUACAAAUCAAUCAUCAAUCUUUAAAACUUAAACUCGAACUCUUCUCUUGAAUCGAGCUCCUCUAAGCUUACUUCAUCUCAUGUAUCAAACCAAGCUCUUCCCAUAUCUCGAACUGUUAACUCUUCUCAUGUCUCGAACCUUCGGCUCUGUCCACAUCUUGAAUCUUCAACUCUUCUCACGUUUUGAACUUUCAGCUCUGAUACCACUUGUUGGGGAACACCACAUCUCUGAUAUCAUUUGUUGGGCUAAAAGCCUCCAAUCCAAUCAUACCAGCGGAAGCUAAAUCAAACAAUAAAUCAAACACAUAAGAGACAACAAUUUAACAUGAUUCGGUCCAACUGACCUACAUCCAUGGAUGAGAAACAAGAUUCACUAGUUGUAGAGAAUUACAAACAUACAUCAAAUCAUCAACCUCACUCAACAAUCAAUACUCAUAAGACACUCUCAAUCUCCUCUAGUCCUAUGGAGUAUUCUCAACUCAAAUAAACACAACACCAAACCCUUGUGCAUCCUUUCAACAUAACCAAAUACAUACUCAUAUGCUCUCAUACAUCAUACCUAUGUGGACCAUCUCAGUCUCCUCUAGUCCACUUACAAACAAACAUACACACCUAUAAGACGUAGAGCCCCAAUACUCCUAUGGGGUGUCUAUCCCACAAAACCCUAUAACUCUCUUACAUUUUUUUCUCAUACUUAACCUUGUAGAGACUUCACCUAUUUAUAAUCAUACAAACUUGCCCAUUAAGAAUCUCUCUACUCUUAGAAUUCUUCUCCUGUAAGUUAAACUUGCCUAUUAAGAAUCUUCUUUCUCUUAUAAUUCUUCUUUUGCAAGUCUUUUUGUCCAUCAAGCAAUAUCUGACAAAUCUCAAACAAAUCUCAAACAAAUCUCUUAUGGGAUUUGAGUCAAUAUUCCUAACGUUUUUAAAAUUUGUUAUUUUGUAAUUUUGGACCUCCCACGAAAAUGAUUCGCCAAUGGAAACAUUUGGGACCUACAAGUCUUAUUCCGUAAGCUCCAAAGUAUGAAUGCAGAAAUUAACCACAGAAAACUUUUGUCAGACAUAAAUUUUCGAUAUUAAGGCUUGACACUAGAAUAAGUUUAAAAGAUGGCCGAAAAAAUAAGUUAAAAAAUCAUGUAACCAUAGAAGCUAGA